CUCUUCCAUUUUCUCUCUUCUCCCCUCUCCUCUCCAUUAAACCCUAGCCGCCGUCGGCCCUUUCUCCGGCCACCACCACCUUAAAUGAAAAUAUUAAGCCUAUUUUCGUAUUCCUCAUCUCACGGGUGUCACAAUGAACCGACUGAAUUUUUAUUUCGAGCGAUCUCGUCGUUGACCGCCGCCUCUCCUUCUCCGACAAUCACUACUCAUCAUCGCCGUCGUCAUCACCAUCACCACAACUUAAGUUUUUCAUGUUUUAAUUUUUAAAAUUCAUGGUUUAUUGGUUUGCAGAGCACGGAAGCGUGAACUCAAGAACACGAAAAAGGAAAACGAGAUCUACAAAAAGGAAGAGGAGAAAUCCAUAAAGGAUGGGAUUUCAGGACAAGAUGGAUGAGGUCACAAUUCUAUGAUAUAUUUUUUAAUGAUGUUGGACCUUCUCCUUUGGCCCAGCAUGUUGUGUUUCAGGAUUUGCCUCUCCGUGAUGUUGGUAUUAUUGGUUUCUGAGAAAACAGUAAGCGGUGUGGAAUUUGAUUGUAACCGAGUUGUUUUCGCCGCAAAUGAAAGAAGAGUCUGGCCCAUGCCCAAUCAAUGUGGCUUGGCCAACAUGUUUUGAAUUCUCUUUCCAGGUGGAGGAGAUUUCUCUGAAGCAUUUGGGAAGUUUUAUGGCCAAUCCAAACAAGGUGGGAGCAGUGAUGCUGUCGAAACUUCAAGAACACGUGGAGCAGUUCAUGAUAACUGUAUAAAGUAUACAUCUCUCUCUCACUACCCUAUACUUUUUCCAGCCAAAAUUGUCUAUGUAUUUCUUAGUAAAAUCUCAUUGUUUUUCAAAUUGUUCAAUGUGGUUAGUUGUUUUUCCUUCUGUCAAUCUUAUUCGACAUGCACCAACCAACCUCAUAAACUGUCCGUGUAUUAACCAAGUAUUUUAUAUGCCAUAUGUAAAUAUUAUGAUGCUAACAAUAGUAGUUUUCUAUAUGCCAUCUUUAACUAUUACUCUAUAUUUAAAUUGCAAAGUAGAAAUACACCAGGGUCAUGAUGUGCUUGGAAUUGUUAUGGACCAUGAACAUCUAUUUGAUAUGGACUAAAAGCAAUGAGUGAUAUGCAAUUUAUACUUAAAAUGAACUUGAUAUCUACGUUUAAGAUGUCAAAUAUUUUACAGCCUUCAUCUAGAAACGGUGCUAGAGAGCAACAUAUUUCUCUUUCUGAUAGUAGAUAUGUCCUCUAUGUUUCAUUGGAGAAGAAAUAAUUCGCUACGCAGCUUCGACAGUGGCACCCCUGUUCUCAGUGGCGGAGCUAGAAAAUUUAGACAGC